UACGUAGGGGGCUAGCGUUGUCCGGAAUCAUUGGGCGUAAGCGCGUGUAGGCGGUCCGGUAAGUCCGCUGUGAAAGUCGGGGGCUCAACCCUCGGAUGCCGGUGGAAACUGUCUGGCUAGAGUCCCGGAAGAGGAGAAUGGAAUUCCUGGUGUAGCGGUGAAAUGCGCAGAUAUCAGGAAGAACACCCGUGGCGAAGGCGGUUCUCUGGGACGGUACUGACGCUGAGACGCGAAAGCGUGGGGAGCGAACAGG
rnacentral:rRNA from 1 species